GUGCACACCAACGAUUUAUCCUGCUGACCCUUUCAAUCCAGAAGAAGACGCAUCUCUUCUUCGAACAGCGAUGAAGGGCUUUGGCACCGAUGAACAGACGAUAAUCGACGUCCUUGCUCAUCGUGGGAUCGUCCAGCGGCUUGAGAUAGCUGAUAAAUUUAAAACUAUGUACGGGAAGGAUCUCAUUUCUGAAUUAAAAUCAGAACUUGGUGGCAACUUUGAGAAGGCAAUUUUGGCGCUAAUGACACCGUUACCGGAAUUCUAUGCUAAAGAACUUCAUAAUGCAAUUUCCGGCAUGGGUACAGAUGAAGGUGCUCUUAUCGAGGUGCUAGCUUCUCUUAGUAAUUACGGCAUCAAGACGAUAUCCGCCGUCUAUAAAGAAUUGUAUGACAAAGACCUGGAGGAUGAUUUGAAGAGUGAUACUUCGGGCUACUUUAAGAGACUCCUAGUUUCCCUUUCAUGUGCCAACAGAGAUGAAAAUCCUGAUGUUGAUGAAGAAGCUGCAAUUCAGGAUGCUGAGAAAUUACUUGCAGCUGGUGAGGAACAAUGGGGAACCGACGAAAGUACUUUUAACGCUAUUCUCAUUACCAAAAGCUAUCCUCAACUUCGAAGAAUUUUCUAUGAAUAUGAACGUCUCGCUGGUCAUGAUUUAGAAGAUGCUAUUAAGAGAGAAUUUUCAGGAUCUAUUGAAGAUGGUUAUCUUGCAGUUGUGAAGUGUGCACGAGAUAAAACUGCCUAUCUUGCGGAAAGACUGUAUAAAGCAAUGCGUGGAUUGGGUACAGAUGACACAACAUUGAUCCGCAUAGUCGUAGCUCGAUCAGAAAUCGAUUUAGGAGAUAUUAUGGAAUCUUACCAGAAAAUGUAUGGACAAUCUCUUGCAGCUGACAUCGAUGACGACUGUUCAGGAGACUACAAGAGACUCCUGCUUGCUCUACUUGGAUGAAAGCAUUUCAUGUUCAACAACCCCUUUUGUUUCUAAAUUAUACUUUAAUAAGGGAUAUUUCUUCGCAACAUUCCGCGAAUCUUUAUAGAUGUCUUAACUUUAAUUUGUUCUAAAUUACAUCAAUAAUUAGCGAGUGACUGCAGCGAAGAGUUUAAGCGGCUUCUGAUAGCAAUUUUGAAUUAAAGAAAAUGGAAAGGAGUGUUCACAUUAAUUUUCUUUAAGAAAAACAACAUGCACAUCUCUAACAUAGAUGUUAAUAAUAUGCACCUCAUAUAACUGUAAUCUUUAUAUUUGUCUCGUUUGCAAUAAAUUUGCACGUUCGCAAACGACUUCUUAUUUAUAAUAGAUUAUACAAGGAAGACACCAGUAUCUUUUUU
rnacentral:misc_RNA from 1 species